AUGUCUCUGAGAUGUUACCCACCCCACCACAUCCCUCCCCUCAGCCCCAUUAACCAAGUCCUGUACCCCUGUCCCUACACACUGUGUAGCCUUCCAACCCGUCCUGCCCUAUAUACUGUGCCCCCACACCUACUGCACCCCCUAAACCCCGUCUGUAGUUUGCAUGCUCAGCCCUACACGCUGCGUCCCAUAUGCACUCAUCCCUAUAGGUUACACCUUGCACACCCAGCCCUGCUCCCUGCAGCCCCUACACACCAUACCCUACACCCAGCCCUAUGCGUUGUCACACAGCUCUCCAUGUUGCACCCUACACCCCUGUCCACGCUUCCUGCACGCUGCACACCCAGCCCUGUGCACCCAGACACCCCUUGCACGCCCCGUGCGCGCACACACAAACGCUCACCCCCACCUUGCACAAGAAGACACCCUCCCUGCACGCACAGCAGAGGGCAGCCCCGUGGGGUGCAUGGGACCUAUAGGGGACUCCCCACCCAGCACCCCUGUGCUGCACCAGUUCUACCAGCGUUGCCUACGGCUGAAGGAACACAUCGGCUCCCACGGCGUCUGGUGCCUCUGCCUCUUCAUGAUGGUCACCAUGAGCUGUGCCAUGGCAGUCCCGCUGUUCUUCUUAAUCUACCUGGUGAUCAUCCCCAUGUGGACCGUCAUCAUGGUGCUGAUGUUCUUCAUCAUGAUGACCUUCCUCGCCAGUGUCUGCCUGAGCCUGAUUCAGCCCUGGAUCCCCUCCAUCUCCCAAGCACUGCAUACUUCGUGGUUGCAGGUUGCUACCAUGGCCAAAAUCUGGCACAACAAGCAGGAGUCGAUGGCAGGGCCUGGGGCCAUGGUCGACAGCGAAGACUCUGAAUGAGACUCUCACACCCAGCUCAGGUUGUGAUCCAGCCAGAGAAGCGGACAAUAAAGACCUUCACUCCAAGCUUCUGGUAACUGAU
rnacentral:lncRNA from 1 species